CGCUCGUCUCGUCGGUCACGAUAUCGCACACCAGCGACUCGAAUUUCGCCGCGUGCAGAUCCCAUUCGACUCGAUUCACAGGAACCUCCGCCGGUCAUUGUGAAGCCCGAAUCGAUUAAACAACAGAAAUCGGCGCUGCGAUAUGCGCCGCGACGCCGAAUCUGUUGAUCGAUCAUGCCGUUUCAGGGUUCCGCUUGCGU
rnacentral:misc_RNA from 1 species